GAGAUUCCCCCAGUAGCGGCGAGAGAACGGGGAGGAGCCCAGAGCCUGAAUCAGCAUGUGUGUUAGUGGAAGCGUCUGGAAAGACGCGCGAUACAGGGUGACAGCCCCGUACACAAAAGCGCAUGUGCUGUGAGCUCGAUGAGUAGGGCGGGACACGUGGUAUCCUGUCUGAAUAUGGGGGGACCAUCCUCCAAGGCUAAAUACUCCUGAC
rnacentral:rRNA from 1 species